UACGGAGGGGGCUGGCGUUGUUCGGAAUUACUGGGCGUAAAGCGUACGUAGGCGGCUUUUUAAGUCAGAGGUGAAAUCCCGGGGCUCAACUCCGGAACUGCCUUUGAGACUGGAUCGCUUGAACGUCGGAGAGGUGAGUGGAAUUCCGAGUGUAGAGGUGAAAGUCGUAGAUAUUCGGAAGAACACCAGUGGCGAAGGCGGCUCACUGGACGACUGUUGACGCUGAGAUACGAAAGCGUGGGGAGCAAACAGG
rnacentral:rRNA from 1 species